UUUCGAAAUAGCCUGGAUACUCGGCGUAGACGAUGCAGCUGAUGGCUUUGGAUAGUGUACUUCCAAAUGCGACUUCCAGUCUGACGUUUCCUUGUUUUAAUAAGGAAUGUACUGAGGAGUGUCAAGUGUUUGGCUCCAGUUUGCAACUUUUUGAGCUUUCACCAUUCGAAGUAGAUUCUGCUUCUCACCAUCAAUUACGGAUUCUCCAACGAGAUCGCAAUGUUCUACCCAGAGAAAGCGGCUGAACACAUCGAUAACCAUCAACAGAUAUUUCACACCCGAGUUAUGUUUGGCAAGUGACGCCAUGUCUAAUAAAUCGGUGUCGUAUUGUUCGAAAGGUUC